rnacentral:misc_RNA from 1 species
GUGCAGGUGCAAAUGCAGCUUCAAACAUGACAUAUGUGGCCACCGACCCUCUGUCUGAACUGGUUUGGUCUCCACAGAAAGGUUUGAGUCUUAAAUGUGCUGAUGGUAGCUUCUCCAACAAAAAUACCUAUCUUUCAUGGGGUGUAGGACUUACUAAUAUGGCAAGUGGAUCAAGUUCUGAUAUACCUAUCUCAAAUAUUGACAAACCCAUCGACCAAAAAAAUUUUAUGGCAUCUCUGGCAGCAUGUAAUCUGGGGAGUGAGGUUGCUGGAGGAGAUGAUUCCACUAGAUUUCCUACAAGCAAUGCAGCAACUGGUGACCCAGCUGAGGAAAUGAAAAAUGCAGUGGAC